UACAGAGGGUGCUAGCGUUGUUCGGAAUCAUUGGGCGUAAAGGGCGUGUAGGCGGUUUGUUAAGUCAUGUGUGAAAUCCCUCGGCUCAACCGGGGAACGACGCAUGAAACUGGCAAGCUAGAGUACCAAAGAGGGGGGUGGAAUUCCCGGUGUAGCGGUGAAAUGCGUAGAUAUCAAGUGGAACACCAGUGGCGAAGGCGAGUCUCUGGACAUUUCCUGACGCUGAGGCACGAAAGCCAGGGGAGCAAACGGG
rnacentral:rRNA from 1 species